rnacentral:rRNA from 1 species
GACGAACGCUGGCGGCGUGCUUAACACAUGCAAGUCGAGCGGUAAGGCCCUUCGGGGUACACGAGCGGCGAACGGGUGAGUAACACGUGAGUAAUCUGCCCAUCACUCCGGGAUAACUCCGGGAAACCGGUGCUAAUACCGAAUAUGACCACUUCAGGCAUCUGAUGGUGGUGGAAAGUUCCGGCGGUGAUGGAUGAGAUCGCGGCCUAUCAGCUUGUUGGUGGGGUAGUGGCCUACCAAGGCUUCGACGGGUAGCCGGCCUGAGAGGGUGACCGGCCACACUGGGACUGAGAAACGGCCCAGACUCCUACGGGAGGCAGCAGUGGGGAAUAUUGGACAAUGGGCGAAAGCCUGAUCCAGCAACGCCGCGUGAGGGAUGACGGCCUUCGGGUUGUAAACCUCUUUCAGCAGGGACGAAGCGGAAGUGACGGUACCUGCAGAAGAAGCACCGGCCAACUACGUGCCAGCCGCCGCAGUAACAC